UACGUAUGGUGCAAGCGUUAUCCGGAUUUACUGGGUGUAAAGGGAGCGCAGGCGGUACGGCAAGUCUGAUGUGAAAGCCCGGGGCUCAACCCCGGUACUGCAUUGGAAACUGCCGGACUGGAGUGUCGGAGGGGUAAGCGGAAUUCCUGGUGUAGCGGUGAAAUGCGUAGAUAUCAGGAGGAACACCGGUGGCGAAGGCGGCUUACUGGACGAUGACUGACGCUGAGGCUCGAAAGCGUGGGGAGCAAACAGG
rnacentral:rRNA from 1 species